GACGAACGCUGGCGGCGUGCCUAAUACAUGCAAGUUGAGCGCUGAAGGUUGGUACUUGUACCAACUGGAUGAGCAGCGAACGGGUGAGUAACGCGUGGGAAAUCUGCCUUUGAGCGGGGGACAACAUUUGGAAACGAAUGCUAAUACCGCAUAAAAACUUUAAACACAAGUUUUAAGUUUGAAAGAUGCAAUUGCAUCACUCAAAGAUGAUCCCGCGUUGUAUUAGCUAGUUGGUGAGGUAAAGGCUCACCAAGGCGAUGAUACAUAGCCGACCUGAGAGGGUGAUCGGCCACAUUGGGACUGAGACACGGCCCAAACUCCUACGGGAGGCAGCAGUAGGGAAUCUUCGGCAAUAGACGAAAGUCUGACCGAGCAACGCCGCGUGAGUGAAGAAGGUUUUCGGAUCGUAAAACUCUGUUGGUAGAGAAGAACGUUGGUGAGAGUGGAAAGCUCAUCAAGUGACGGUAACUACCCAGAAAGGGACGGCUAACUACGUG
rnacentral:rRNA from 1 species